UCCUCCUCUGAUGGACAUGCUGCACGGACGCGAGCGCGGGCUGCUGCAGCAGCUCGCCGGACCAUCUCUGACGCAUGCGAGGCCCACGCACUAACGUGAGGUUCUUCUUUACCUUAACACUACUUUGAUUAGAUUUUUCUUUACCUUCACAUCAAACCGUUGGUUGGGUGUAGGAAGCUGCUAAUGGGACCUAAGCAUUGGUUGCUCAUUGCAAUCUGGGUUAACUGAAACACCAAUUUUUCCCACCUGUUCAAUUAGAGGAACCUGCACUUGCGACAACAAAAUUAAUAAUGACAAAAAUGAUGAACAUCAGUCAAAGUUCAUAGGCAGAAUCCUCAUGGUAGAUUUGGGUAAAAACUCACAAAUACAAAAGAGUAACAAAAAAACAAGACUAUACUUGUGCUCCUAAUUUCGCUGUUGGGGGAUUGGAGUAAUUUUUAAAUGCUACUACUAAGAAGGGAGAAUAGUAUCUUGAUUAUUAAGAUUCUUUCUUCGUAUUGUGCUUGGAGUAGGUUGAUUAUAAAUUUUGCAAUCCUGCUCAAUAGGUGCAAGAUGUAUGAUAAUUUUUUCAAUGGAAACUACAGUGAGCUAUCUAUAUCUUCUGGUUAUAAGCGUUCUGGCAUCAUCUACGAUUUUGCUUGUGCACAUGUCAGAGAUUGGUCAUGCUCCUUCACUGUUGAUUUGUAUUCCUCAUAAAGUUCUCCACUGAUGGUGUUAGAUUUUUUGAUUAAAAUGAUAUUAUGGUUGUCAUAUAUUUGGUACUAAGAAGGGACUAUGAUGAUUUUUUAGUUUUACAAGCUCUUAAUAUGGUUAUCAAAAUAUAUUCUAUUACUGAAAUGACCUUUUAAAUGAUGUUAGGAAUCUGCACUUUCCCAUAUAUAUACCACGAGGUACUCCUGAAGUUGCAAGAAAAAUACUACAGAAAAGCUUGUGAACUUUUGGAGGAUGUUUUGAAGACUAACAAUUGAAGAUUUACUACAUUUAAGCACCCUGGUUAAACCCAUGUAUGCCUUUUAGUUUUUCGGGCAAAACCUAAGUAUGCCUUAACAAGGAGAUUUGUAAAUUUGUAUAUUCUUUCUUGUGUACAAGGUAUUGGACCGAUGUAUGCUUCUAUUCUUGUAUUUACUUCUUGCUUGGACACUUGAACUAAUGUAUGGGUGAUGUUUACUGACCAACUUUUAAUCUCCUUUGCAUGUAUUUCUAAGUUUGGAUAAUUUGUUGUUUUUGUUUUUAAUUUCUAAAAAUCCACUUAAUUUGCAAUGUUGCACAAAAAUUAUAUUUUGAGUAACUAAUAUUAGUAAUCAAAAUUACUUGUUCAAACCAGUUAUAGUGAGAGAGAAUAAGUAUCAUUUUGAGGGGCAAUUUUAUUUAACAACAGUUUCAUGUCCAUGCUAACAAAAAAAGAUCUUGCAACUCCAGCAACAUAGACCUAAAUAUAGUUCACUAGAUUUAUCUUUUCUAAAUGUUGAAUUGACCUCACCAUCUCAGUGUAAUAGUAGAUUUACAAUAUUUUUCAUAUUAUAUAAUUGUUGAUUGUGUGAGAUGGAAUUCCACUUGGCAGUGUUGGAGAAGGAUGCGUUGCUAGAAAAGAAGGGAGAGGGCGGGGCGACCAAACAAGAUAGGAGGAGAACCAGGCAAGAUAGUCAACUUCGAUGCGGUGCUUGAGCAGAGCCCAUGGAAUUCUUAUUAGAUCUAGAUGGGUCUCUUUAAUAAGUUGUGGUUAUCUGUAAUGGUGACCUGAAUGUCAUGUACAAACAUAUAUGAUUUAUUAUUAUUUUGACUGGAUAUGGUGUACCAACUCACAUGCAUGCAAACUAAUUCUAUUAGUCAAGAUGUGAUCUACUUAUUCAAUUUUGAAUUUUAACAAAACGUGUGUUACACGUGCACGCUUACUAGUUUUAAUAUAAAAUAAAC
rnacentral:lncRNA from 1 species